rnacentral:rRNA from 1 species
UCCGUAGGUGAACCUGCGGAAGGAUCAUUAUUGAAUGAAUGUAGAGUUGUGUUGUCGCUGGCUGGAUCGGAUUAAUUUCUGUUUCAGCAUGUGCACGCCUUCUCUUUCAUCCACACACACCUGUGCACUUGUGAGACUGGGGACUGUAAAAAGUCUUCAGUCUACUUAAAUAUACAAACUCCAUUUUAAUUAAACUGAAUGUAAUUGAUGUAACGCAUCAUUAGAACUAAGUUUCAACAACGGAUCUCUUGGCUCUCGCAUCGAUGAAGAACGCAGCGAAAUGCGAUAAGUAAUGUGAAUUGCAGAAUUCAGUGAAUCAUCGAAUCUUUGAACGCACCUUGCGCUCCUUGGUAUUCCUUGGAGCAUGCCUGUUUGAGUAUCAUGAAAUUCUCAAAGUCAAUCCUUUUUGUUAAUUCAAUUGGUAUUGCUUUGGACUUGGAGGUCUUUGCAGAUGUCACAGUCUGCUCCUCUUAAAUUUAUUAGCUGGAUCUCAGUAUAACACUUGGUUCCACUCGGCGUGAUAAGUAUCAUUCGCUGAGGACACUGUAAAAGGUGGCCAGGAAAUUUACAGAUGAACCGCUUCUAAUAGUCCAUUUACUUGGACAAUUUACUUUAUGAUCUGAUCUCAAAUCAGGUAGGACUACCCGCUGAACUUAAGCAUAUCAAUAAGCGGAGGA